AAGAAGGGUUCAGUAGGAAUGUAAGAAGGAUGAGGGAUAUUGGUGAAAGUAUACUAUACAAUACUAUACUAUACUAUACUAUGCAGAUAUAGAUACAUAUACAUACACACACACACACUGGGAAAAAUAAUUUAACAAACUAGGAUUAGGCUCUGGCUAGUGGUAAAAUCAACAAAGGCAUAAGUAGGAUCUGUUGCGUGUGUGAGCAGAUAUUGGACAGUGUGAGGAUAAGGGAGCACACAGGUUUUCCAGAACAAACUGGCACAGCCACUGAAGACACACUGUACAGUCCAAGGCCGUGACUCAUUGUUUUCAAUAGAGAAGAACUGGCUGGGUGUGGUCAGGCACUAACUGAGGCUGGUGAGAACCUGAUUCUAUCUCUUUCAGAAAAGGAGCUUCUUAGCUGAGACAGUCCUUUGAACAUUUUCCAAGGUCCAUCACGGGUGGACACUGAGCAGCAGAGGAAGGGAUGCAUGCCGGGGCUCUCCAUGAGAACCUGCUUGAAUCUGAAGGUGACUUUUGUGAAUGAAGCCCUCUCCAGAUCAUGUGCUGCAGUUAAAGCAGUCCAGUGGCAGCUGGAGGAAGGUUCUAAGAGGAGCAAGCUCUCCACUCCUGGGGUGCCCUGCUGACAUGCUCAAAGCGGAGGAGUUGCUGGCGAGAUGAUGGAGCCAUCAAUGAGGAAGAAGGCUUCAAGGACUUGAGAGUUUGUAAUACCAAGAGGGUGAAGGAAUGAAAACUUCCCCUGCUGUGAUGAAAUCUAAAUGGACCUGGCCUCUGUUGGAAGAGUAAGUCAUGAGACCUGUGCACCUUGAGCUAUGCAUCCUGACCAGGGCUCUUUCCUUCCAGGGCUCCCACUGCCUCUUUCUUACUCAUUCCUUCUACAAAACAUGGAGAAAUGGGCCAAUAUUCCACGAGCAGGCAGUUUCUUCCAACUAGGGGGUAACAACUAGGGUUGCCAAGGUUUCUGUUUCAUUUUUUUAACAUUUGGUAUUUUAUUUUCCUUCAUCUGUUUGCUGAUAUCUGACAAAGAACCUACUUCCUUUCAUUAAAAAAGAAAAUAAAA